rnacentral:tRNA from 1 species
AUUGCUCAAGUAAAAUUGUUUUUAGCUAGUGAGUGGAUUAUUUACAACGCGACCAAUGAUA